rnacentral:misc_RNA from 1 species
CUUUUUUGGUGAUGCUAGUUGUUCUUCAAUAGAUCAAUGUAGUUGUAAUUGGUUUUGAUUCUUUUGUUCAUAUAGCUGCUUGUCCGGUUUCUUUAAUAUGAAAUUCACUGCUUUAUCUUGAAUAGCUUUUUAAUGAUUCUUAAUUGCUAUGGAGCUUUAUUAGUUGUGUUUUUUCUUUUCUUUCGUAUGACUACAUAGGUUACUAGAUAAUCUGAUUAUGAAAUUUAUCACACGCUUGUUUUCUUGAUAUACUUUACUUGCGCCGAGGAUCCAUCUGGAAUAGCCUCUCCACCUUUACAAGGUAGGGAUAAGGCUGAGACUCCAAUUGUGGGAUUAUACGGUGUAUUUUGUUGUUGUUAAUGAAAUUUAGUGUACUUAGGAGGAGGUAUUUUAGGCGGUGGUUCAAUACAUUGCAUUCUCGUGCUUGAUACUGCGGUGGCUAUUAAUUUGCUAAUUCAUGUUGAACCAAAAGUAAGUUAAAGAAGCUGAAACAUCCCGCCUUUUAUUUAAAUGACCUUCUACUAUCUUGAACUUUGACGAAGUCUGUCAAUUUUUAUGCUCUUUAUAGGAGAAGUCUUGGAAAAGCAAAUGAGUUUAGGCAUAUUCUAUGUCAUAGGGAAUUGGGAUAGUUUUGUUGUUUUUGUAAUCAUGGACAUGUCUUUGCAUAGCUACUGAUGUGAUUUAAUUUUUUUUCUAUAGAUUUAUUGUCCCACGUUCCACAUCAUGGUAUUAAUGCUUGAUCAGAUUUGUUAGAUCUUUGGUGCUGAGUCCAGAAAGUUCUUCACCCAAAAGCUGCCUGUGGUUCAUAAAAAAAGAAACACAUGGAAGAAGACAUUGCAAUUUCCCAAUUUCAAAUCUUGGGUGUCAUUUCCUUAAUAAUUCUUGGAUUUGAAUUAAUCGCUCUCAUAUCCAUGUCAAGGAGAUAUAUACCAACUGGAAGUUUCGAGGAAUUGACAAAUUUGGCAUAUACAAACUAAAACCUGGUAUAGGGCAUUGUCCAAUCUCAGGUGUUCCUUUGAUAUUCCCAGUCCACUCUUGCGACCAAAGAAAGAACACAAUGAAGUAGGUUAAGGUCAGCUAAAGGAUUUGAUGGGGCUAAGGAUGGUUCCAAAAAGAGCAGCUACUUUAGAUGAACGCUACUGUGGUUGCACUAUUUAUUUGCAUGCAUGAAAUUGACAUACGUGUAUCCUGUUCGCUCGAGCCAUGAUAAAGAUGGGUGAAUUCGAUAUCAAAGGGAUGAAAAGAAGCUGAUAGCAUAAUACAUGAGUAGGUUGGCCAAGAAUAACCUUGAUGAUCAAGAGAACUUUACUGACCAUCCCUAAAUCCCAACGAAAGCCUUCUACCGGGGCUUUGCUGGGAAAACCUGCUUAAAAAAAUGGACAUGUGUGAAGACCAAGAGCGGUUAUUCACUUUUCUUCUUCCUUAGUCUAAGCAAUCAAUUUGUGAGAUAAAUUAAUUCUCCAUUUGUAGUUAGAUUUUUGCGUUUGUAUAACCUUUUUUUUCGAGUUCUACCUUGAAAGGAAACCUACAAUGAGAUUGUACCCGAAUAGAGAUGGUGGUCUUACUCUGGCCCAUAAUAGAAUAGCUAGGUGAAGCAGUCAAUCGAUCUUAUAUAUAAGAAGAACAAAAGAUCUUUCUUGAUCAAUUCCUUUGCCAAGAUAACCUUUGAGGUACCUCAAGAUUCUGUAUAGCAGGUUGCUUACGAACUCAAACUGCUU